rnacentral:rRNA from 1 species
UCCUAUGGGACGCAGCAGUGAGGAAUAUUGGUCAAUGGGCGCGAGCCUGAACCUGCCAAGUCGCGUGAGGGAUGAAGGUUCUAUGGAUCGUAAACCUCUUUUAUAAGGGAAUAAAGUGUGGGACGUGUCCUAUUUUGUAUGUACCUUAUGAAUAAGGAUCGGCUAACUCCGUGCCAGCAGCCGCGGUAAUACGGAGGAUCCGAGCGUUAUCCGGAUUUAUUGGGUUUAAAGGGUGCGUAGGCGGCCUUUUAAGUCAGCGGUGAAAGUCUGUGGCUCAACCAUAGAAUUGCCGUUGAAACUGGGGG